rnacentral:rRNA from 1 species
UGUAAGCGUAUACCAAAGUUGUUGCAGUUAAAACGCUCGUAGUCGGAAUUUGGCAGUUCCGGAUGUGUGCACGUCGUGUGCGCACUUCGCGGGGAUUGCUUUUGUGGUCUUGCGUAGGAUGAGGCACUUUUAUUAGUGAACGUCCUCACGCAACCACUUUUUACUGUGAGAAAAUCAGAGUGCUCAAAGCAGGCAUUUGCCGUGAAUGUAUUAGCAUGGAAUAAUAGAAUAGGACUUGGUUCUAUUUUGUUGGUUGGUUGGGACUGAGUAAUGAUUAAGAGGGACAGUUGGGGGCAUUUGUAUUUCGGUGCUAGAGGUGAAAUUCUUAGAUUACCGAAAGACAAACUGCUGCGAAAGCGUCUGCCAAGGAUGUUUUCAUUGA